CCAAUAGCGUAUAUUAAAGUUGUUGCAGUUAAAAAGCUCGUAGUUGAAUUUCGGAAUCAGUACGCUGGUCGUGCCUCCGGUAUGAACUGGUGUCACUGGUUCCUCCCUUCUGAAGAACCAUCAUGCCAUUCACUUGGUGUGGUGGGAAAUCAGGACUGUUACUUUGAAAAAAUUAGAGUGUUUAAAGCAGGCUCACGCUUGAAUACAUUAGCAUGGAAUAAUGAAAUAGGACGUUGAUCUUAUUUUGUUGGUUUCUAGGAUUGACGUAAUGAUUAAUAGGGAUAGUUGGGGGCAUUAGUAUUCAAUUGUCAGAGGUGAAAUUCUUGGAUUUAUUGAAGACUAACUACUGCGAAAGCAUUUGCCAAGGAUGUUUUCAUUAAUCAAGAACGAAAGUUAGGGGAUCGAAGACGAUCAGAUACCGUCGUAGUCUUAACCAUAAACUAUGCCGACUAGGGAUCGGAUGAUGUUAUUUUUUUAUGACUCAUUCGGCGCCUUACG
rnacentral:rRNA from 1 species